AGUGAACGCUGGCGGUAGGCCUAACACAUGCAAGUCGAACGGCAGCACAGUAAGAGCUUGCUCUUACUGGUGGCGAGUGGCGGACGGGUGAGGAAUACAUCGGAAUCUACUUUUUCGUGGGGGAUAACGUAGGGAAACUUACGCUAAUACCGCAUACGACCUACGGGUGAAAGCAGGGGAUCUUCGGACCUUGCGCGAUUGAAUGAGCCGAUGUCGGAUUAGCUAGUUGGCGGGGUAAAGGCCCACCAAGGCGACGUUCCGUAGCUGGCCUGAGAGGAUGAUCAGCCACACUGGAACUGAGACACGGUCCAGACUCCUACGGGAGGCAGCAGUGGGGAAUAUUGGACAAUGGGCGCAAGCCUGAUCCAGCCAUACCGCGUGGGUGAAGAAGGCCUUCGGGUUGUAAAGCCCUUUUGUUGGGAAAGAAAAGCAGCAGGUUAAUACCCCGCUGUUCUGACGGUACCCAAAGAAUAAGCACCGGCUAACUUCGUG
rnacentral:rRNA from 1 species